GAUACAUACGGUGCAGAAGAGUGUGAAAGUGGUGGGGGGCAAGCUGUGGACGAAAUUAAUGGACGGAAAGCGCGCGCGAGCGGUACUUUAAGGCUGAUGUGAAAGCCCACGGCUAAACCGUGAAGGGUCAUUGGAAACUGGGGGACUUGAGUACAGAAGAGGAAAGCGGAAUUCCACGUGUAGCGGUGAAAUGCGUAGAGAUGGGGAGGAACACCAGUGGCGAAGGCGGCUUUCUGGUCUGUAACUGACGCUGAGGCGCGAAAGCGUGGGGAGCAAACAGGAUUAGAUACCCUUGUAGUC
rnacentral:rRNA from 1 species